rnacentral:rRNA from 1 species
UCAGUCGACUCCUACGGGGAGGCAGCAGUGGGGGAAUAUUGCACAAUGGGCACAAGCCUGAUGCAGCCAUGCCGCGUGUGUGAAGAAGGACCUUCGGGUUGUAAAGCACUUUCAGUCGUGAGGAAGGUAGUGUAGUUAAUAGCUGCAUUAUUUGACGUUAGCGACAGAAGAAGCACCGGCUAACUCCGUGCCAGCAGCCGCGGUAAUACGGAGGGUGCGAGCGUUAAUCGGAAUUACUGGGCGUAAAGCGCAUGCAGGUGGUUUGUUAAGUCAGAUGUGAAAGCCCGGGGCUCAACCUCGGAAUUGCAUUUGAAACUGGCAGACUAGAGUACUGUAGAGGGGGGUAGGAAUUUCAGGUGUAGCGGUGAAAUGCGUAGAGAUCUGAAGGAAUACCGGUGGCGAAGGCGGCCCCCUGGACAGAUACUGACACUCAGAUGCGAAAGCGUGGGGAGCAAACAGGAUUAGAUACCCUGGUAG